rnacentral:misc_RNA from 1 species
GUGUCUUGGCGAAAGAUACAGCAUUCUGCCGAGCUUGAACAUUGGUCUACGAGCUGGAGCUUGAAAGCCUCAGCUCCCUUUCUUCUAUAGCUCGGAGCCCUUCGUUACGUUUUUUCCCCUUUUGGAGAGGCAAGGCGCUGUCGUAUGCGAUACUGGCCAUAAAGAAGCGGUGCACCGACGGUCAACUGGAAAGUCUGCGUUCUUUAUAUUGCGGGUGCCAAUAGGUUGGAGAAGCAGCGCUAGCGCGUGUAGCGCGCCAGUGACAAGGAAACUCAUCUUUUUGUUUUUGUCAACGCUCUCCUGUGGCACCUGUGGAAUUUGCUCACGCACACUUUUCAAAAUUAGCUUUUCAGUAGAGCAACCUAUUCCCUUUUUUCCUGCAGGUUCAGCAAGGGCUGACCGCAUCGACUGCAGCUGAGCUUAGCUGGGCAUCCGCUAGUAGCGUAAACUCUCAAGUUUGCGCCUGAUUGACGUAAUGCAGACUUCGGAGGGUGGCGCGCGUAAGCAAAGCGCCAAAGCGAGCGAAACUGGCUCAGGCGCGACUGUGGCUUCGGUGAAAGCGGCACAAUUGCCGCGGCAGCCCUCCUAUGCACCGGGAACGAAUCGGCUGCCUGAGGUCGAAGAGGCAAGAAGAUGCUCUUCUAUUCGCAAAGAAAGCGAUGGCAGAGUCGCAGGGCGGUGCACUGCGCGUAGCAGAGACAUUGCCUCGAAAAACAGUUACUUAUCUGAGGGAAGUGGAAAUCAGCGUCAAGCUGAGGGUUCUGACCGUGAGGGUCGUGGGAAUUUGUGUGGCAAUGGCCAUGCUCAGCAUAGCUGCGCUUUGGCUAGCCGCUCAUACAUAAAAUCAGAUAUUAGCAUGGACACCUUCGUUCCGCAUCGUGAACUGUCAGAGCAUGGCAGUGAGAAAGAUGGACAGGUGCAAAUAAAUCUGGAGGGCGUCGAAAAGUCAGUGUUCACCCCUGAACAACCCGCCUCUGGUGACAGCACUAGUGUCUCUCGCAUUCCUCCCAGCUGUGAUGCGUCGGCAACCGCAGCAGUGGACCCUUUGGCGAAAAUUGAGACAGCAGUGGCCUCCACAGCGUAUGGUGAGAGUGGCUCUGGCGCAAGAAAGAGCUCCGCUCACGCGGAGAAGUCUAUGCAGCCGUUGCGCAAUCAACUCCGCCGCUUUUCUUCGAGCAAAGACACGCCGCGCCGCCGAAGCCAUGGCAUAUGUCCUACAGCACUCGUUGCUAGCCGCACGCUGCCUGUUGGGCGCGUCGAGACAGAGUUGGCAGACAGCGACUGGGGAGGGGCAUCAGGAUCCGGGGACGUUGCGGAGGCAAAGGUUCCAAGCGCUCGCACAGGCUGCUUGCCGAAUACGAGUGUCUUCGCUGGUGAUGUUGUUACAACUGACACUCGCGAAGGCACUAGUCGCGACAGACGAAGUGCCCAGUUUCUGCGAGAGAUGUUGGGCGUGGUUGAGAAGGAUCAGGCGGGCUCCUCUAGGGGGUGUGAGGGUGACGGUGGGAACGUGAACAGUGCAGCGACAGUUCCAAAUCCCCUUCAUCAUCGCAACAGCGCAAGUAGGGCAAGUGACAGUGGGUCUAUCAGCGACAUUCCCUACGGGUAUGGUAAUGAAGCUUUCGGAACACAAAGCAGUGCAACGCGAAGAGAAUUGCAUGCGCGCAACGUCGACAAUGUUGCCGGGGGCGACAGAGAUCAGUACAACACAGACAGUCUUGUAGAUGGGCGUUCCUUUGGUAGUUAUCGCGGCGAGCUAGAGUGGCUGUGCGUCCCUUCUUUGUUCUACCUUUUUGCCAACAUGAUCAAGUGGAAUGAGCUUCGACUGCAGCGCCGAACAUCUCAAACCCCUCUCGAGGAGAACCGCUCCUGCUCAAGUGAUGAGUCAUUUUCUCUAGCUUCAAUUUGGACCCCAAAUCGUGAGCAGGAACUCCAUGUGCUUGAGGAUCGCAUCAGUUUCUCAGUUUUCGAGUUGGAGGGGGUGUACUUGAACCCGUUGUUGGUGAGCUGGUCGAAGCCGAGGCUGCGCUCGCUUGUUGCAGAUGUUGCGGCAACAUGGGCAAAGGAAGGCCCCUACAGUGCCGAGUUUGACUGCAUCUCGUCACGCCUUUUCGACGCCAUUUCUACAGAGCAGACUUGCCAGCUUCGAAGCACCUGUUUGCUCUCGGUGCGACAGUGGCUGGGAAGUGCACAACACCGAUGGGACGUCACGUGCGUCUUGAUAGCUUUACUGACGGUUUCGAUUCUUUGCAUUGUCUUUCUUGCGGUGUUUGGCCGCACCCAAGCCGUCUGCGUUGUAUUUUCGACGAUGCUCAGCGUAGCGGUGGUCUUGAUGUACGUGGUUGCAGUGUUUGUGUUGCAUCACAACACGUACGCAGACGCGGCUUCCAGGUACUUCCGCGAGGAGGUGGUGCGCGCAGCUCAGAAGAAGAUGGAGGAGGAGGAAAUGGCGGAAAAACGAGAUGUGGGCAGUAGAAGCGGGUACAGACACCGCGGUGCGGUGAAGACGUCUCGGGACGCGGCGGACAACGGUUGCAGGGGUUACACAGCGGGCGAUGACGACACAGGUGUCGAUGAUGAGUAUAUGGAGGAUGAAAUAUCUAUUGCGGUACGCAACCUCCGAGCUCUGACGGAGGGUAGCACCCACCCGGUUACUAACGCGCCGCCCUACUAUCGCCUAUCGGAUCGGCCUCACAGUGGAAAGUGUGACAACGGCGGUGCAGGGGGCGGCUUUGAAGAUGAUAUGACACUGGCCGAUGGGAACUACGCUUCCCUCACCAGCCGUUCUUUGCAGGCUGGUGACAAAGCCAAGCAGCAGUUUGAGGAAGAUCGUGAAAAUAGACUCCUGCUGAGCCGCGGGACCUUCGAGCAGCAUCAGGCGCACAUGGAUCAGCGGGAGUCUCACAGGGUGCACGAACGCAUGAACGCACAGCAAGCGCUGCGUCCUACAAAGCAAGCGACGCCCAGCAGCACCAGUGGCGCCACUGGAGCUCAGACGAGGCCGAGCACCGCUGACAGCGGUGGAAGCGGCAGACAGGAGCAGCUGACUCGGGGAGGGCGCGACGGCAAAAAGAUUGUGAUGCAGGAGCAGCAGCCGCUACAGCAACUCGAUGACUUGCCAGAGAAUGUCAACGUCACGGCGCUGCUGUUUUGCAGGAAUGCGGGUGUCCUUUCUCAAGUGGCGUCAUCGCUAUGGGAGCGCAAUUUUAUGCUGUUGCGCGUCAGCAACCUUCAAGCACUCAACAAAUUCAAUCGCGGUUCCGAGCGUUUCGGGGUGGUGUUGAUUCAUGCCCCUGAUGUGGCGGAGGGAUCUGCAGAGUUGGAGACGGCGCUUUCGUGGCUGCAGGUGGAGAGGCGGCCCGUCUUUUUCUUUUCCCGCUCGGCGAUGGCAUACCCGGCCAGCGUGCCCUUUUCCGCCCGGCUGCUGGUGCCGUUUUCCUCCACUUCCCUUAACGCUCUCUUGCUGGCUGGCAUUGGCGUGGAGUCGGAGCACGGUUGUGUCUCGUCCCCGCUGCUUCCUCAGCAGGAGCAGGAGCGACAUCAGCAGCAGUGCCCGUCGCAGCCUUUUCAAGUCCCACCAUACACUCUCGGCCGCCGGCUUGGUGGAGGUGCCUUUGGCAACGUGUUCGAGGCAGAGAUGGAACACACAGGUGCCAGGUGCGCAGUGAAGCGGAUGUACUUGAAGGAGGACUCGAAUCAAGAUGAGGAACAGCAAGUCAACAGCGGAGUUGCUGGGGCCUGUGCAGGCGGCAGUGGCACCCUUGCAGCGGGCGCGAACUCCGCAACGUCUCCCAGGGCGGCAGCAGUGGAGGAAGAGGUGGGUGGGGCAACCACCGCGGUCGGCUCACAGCUGCGUGACAUUGCUCAGGAGGUGGAGAUAAUGAGCUCACUUCAGCAUCCCAACAUUGUGCGAUACUACUACUGCGAACGUGACGAUAACUGCAUCUCCAUCUUUAUGGAGCUCUGUACCGGCGGCUCGCUGAGAUCGUUGAUUCACAGCGGAAAGCUGGUGAACCCCCCAGAGAUCAAACAUCUGCUGCGGGAGAUCAUCAGUGCCGUUUCCUAUCUGCACAACAUGCGCAUCGUGCAUCGCGACUUGAAGCCGGACAACGUCCUCUUUCGCCAGGGGCACAUCAAGAUUACGGACUUUGGCACGGCUGUGCACAAGCACGGUGGAGACCUUCGGCUUAUCAGAGGCACGUUCGCGUACAUGGCUCCUGAGAUUUUGGUCGGGGAUCCGUACGGGCGUGCCUGUGAUGUGUGGUCUAUCGGCUGCAUCGCUGCCGAGGUGCUGUCUGUGGAGUUGCCGCAGCACGCGCUGGGGCUUCCAGAAAUGUGCGAUUACUACCGCGCCAUGGGCGAGAACAGUGAGCUGCCCAUCGAAUGCGACGUACCGGGCGUACGCGAUUUCCUCCUCGCCUGUCUGCAGCGCAAUCCCAACCAGCGCAGCACGGCAGCGGAGCUUUUCUACCACCCCAUCCUGCAAGCCCGAGACACUUCCAUUCAUGACUGGAUGGUGGAGGUGGUGGCGCGUCGCCGUCGCAUGCAGCAGCAGCAGCAAGCGCUUCACCGCAACGGACUUGGCAGCCGAACGGGUGGCGGGGCCGGCGGCCUCGGUGGCAAUCACCAAGUCAGCUCCAACGGACCGAACAAUAACGGGGGCAUGAACUGUGCGAAUGCCGGUGACCGCUUCGACCUGCAUUCCGUCGGAAGCGCUCAAUCGCUCGACUCGUCAAAACUGGUGUGACCGCCGCCGCCGCCGGACUCGGAACUUACCGCAUAGGCCGGGACCGGGCGAAGUAGCUGAUGGUCCACGCUAAGGAGUUGUUGGAUUGCGUUGGGGCAGGCGUUUCCUUCCGUCGUACACCCAAGCCCCUCGUCUCACAGCUUUGCGUCUUGAGUGCUGCAAACAGUCAAGACGCACACGCGCGUCAUUCCCGAACGUCAACGGGUGGGUGGGGUGGGGGUGGGGGCACAUGCUUGACAUGUGCCGCUGCUGUUUUCUUGUGCCCCCUUUUUUUCGAUUCUGUUUAAUGAUAUAUUUAUCGAUAUAUAUAUAUAUAUAUAUAUGUGUGUGUGCUCUCGCUUCUUUCGCCAUCUACUUCUCCUUCUUGUUCCCCCCCUCUCUUCGAGAGAAACAAGGAAGCUGCUCACGUGUCUGCGUUGUGCACACGCUUCGAGGAGCGGUGGCCUCCGCCCCCCUCCCUCUCUCCGUUGAUCUGUACUUCUCCUUUCGUCUGCGCGUGUGUUCAAGCGCUACCCCCUCUCACGCCUGCCGCGCUUGCCCUUCCACGUUUCUGUGAGGGCGUGGCGAGGAAGCACUGCUACAUUUUGGCUCCCUCCCCCCUCUCUCUCUCUCCCUCCCUCUCAUGGUGCGCAUGUUUCAUAUUCUUAGAUGUUAUCUCUUUCGUGGUGUUUCUGUUACCCCCUCCCCCUCUUUCUUCCCCCUCCCUUUCUCAUUGUGGGAGGGCACUCCGACGUCCGUGUCUCUGCGUUGUGGCGAUUUUGCUCUCGUUUUCUUUUUUCGCGUUUGAGGAUGCUCCUGCUGCACAUUUUUUUUCGUUUUUGUUUUUCGUGCCUUUUCCCACUCCCUCCGUCUUUUGUGUUUCAUUUUAUUUUUCCUCUGAGUGUUGUCGUGUUGCUUGUGCCACUCACGCUUUCCAACCGUCCCUCUGGUCUCUCUCCCUCUCUCUUCCCUCCGCUGUGUUGGCAUUUUUUUUUUUGGGUUACCUUGCACGUGAUUGCCCGCGCGCUUGAGAGAAGAGAUGCGUUGCGACUUUCUUCAGGUUUCUCUGUACGUGCGCCCGAAGGACCUGUGGGGCGAUCUCUAGCGCGCUUGUGUGUGUGUAUUGUGCGUGUGUGCGCUGCGGCGAAUGUCUUUGUUUCCGCGCUCGCGCGCCUCUUUUUUUUCCCGGUGGGCGUGUACGACACGCGUUCCUCGUAUGUGGUCAUCUUUGUUUUUCUGUAGAGCUCCAGCUGUUCAUCUCCAUUGCGAGUCCCUCCCUCCUCCCCCUCCUGUCUUGCGCCUUGCCACCAUGUUUCCGCAUCCCUUUCCUGCGUUCUUGUGCGUACCUAUAUGCUGCAUCUCUCCGUGAAGGAUUGCACCUGAAAUCAAAACAACACAACACAACAACAACGACACACACACACACACAAGCGAAAAAAAAAACGACCUACGAACCAAAAAGAGAACGCAAAGGGAGACGGCGACUGACGAACGCACACAUAAGUGACUCGCCUUCACUGGCAUGUGCGUUGGAGGCCCCGACAGGCUGUCUUUGCUGGCCGGAGGCCUUCACUUUUUGUAAAGGUCUCGUCGACUGUCUUGUACACAAAAAUCAUGUCUGGCUUCCUCUCUCUCUGCCUCUCUUUUGGUUUUCUCUGUUGCCGAUGAUUUCUUUCGUUUGUUUUCCUUUUUUUAUGUUUCUGCUUUGCUGUCCUCCUCUGCUCCUCCUCCUCUUCGUUUGCUUGUCGUCACCUCCAUCGCCCCCUCCCCCCUUUUCCCCUCUUUUGCAUGUCGAUGUGCCUCAAUCCCUGUUUCCUUCCAUUAUUAUUAUUAAUAUAUAUAUAUAUAUAUAUAUCGGAUCUUCCUGCUUCAUCCCACCCCUCCCCUGGCCCGCGCUCCUUUAUCUUCUCUCGCUCAUUCCAAACAUAUCAUUCUGCGCUACGAUCUUCAGCGCGUCUCCCGCUGCAGGCUCCACUCCUCACCCACGCUUCACCUUUCGUUCUCUCUUUUUUUUCGCGUGCGCAUGCGUGUGUGUGUGUCGUUUUGGGUUGUCUUUAUUAUUUUUUUUUUAGUGCGUCAUCUUUCUCUGUCUUGCAUGUAUGAAGCGACGGGUAUCUUCAUGUGCUUCGUUUCCCUCCCCCAACUUUUUGUGUUUCACCCUCACCCGGAUGACGGGCACGGGAAGAGUGAGGAGGGGGGAGCGCCUCAGUGCGGGGUGGUCGGGGGGGGGUCCAAGAACCCCCACUCUGUGGGAGGAGGCCAAGCGGAGCCCCUCAUCCUCUCCUCCCCUCAUCUCCUCACCCCCUCUAUCCCUUCCAACACCGAGCCGCUUCUCGUUGUGACAGGGCCCAGCACGCACGAGAUGGGGGCGGGUCAGGGCUGGCUGUCGCUGCGGAUGUCGGCGUUCGGGUCGUGAAUGGCGGUGCUGCGCCGGGGCGGCCUGCGGCGGUGAACGUGUUUGUGCCCUCCGUAUGGUGGGCGGGGUGCCCGUGCGGCCCAAACGUGUCGCUCAGCCGUCGCGCUGCCUGCUGGUGGGGCGGCUGUGGGGCGGCCUGUGUGUGUGUGGGUGGGGUUUUGGGCAGGGGCCUUGCCCCGGUGGGUGCGUAGGCGAUGUUUUCAUGCGCGUCUAGCACCGCUUCGCGCCACGCAAUGGGGCCCUGUGGAGGGCCGGUGGCCUGGCGGUGGUGUGGCCCCUGUUGGGUGCGGGGGAUGGUGGCGUGGGAAAGAAGGGACAACAACAACUGCUCUCUUUCGAGAAUGACACGCUUUCCCUUCCCUUUGGCGUCUUUUGAUGGUUGCGCUGUGUAUGCGUGUGCGUGUGUGCGCCGCAUCAUCUCCCCUCAACAUAUUACAAGUAUCUUUCAACAACAACAACACGCACACACACACACACACACACACACACACACACCAGAAAAAAAAACGAAGAAGGGCAAAGAAAAGGAAACAACCCUCAUAAAAAAGAGGAAAAAAAAGGAGUACUCGUAUGCAAUACAACCACGUAGGGGCGUUCCUGCGGAGUUUUCG